rnacentral:rRNA from 1 species
UGGGGAAUAUUGGACAAUGCGGGAAACCGUGAUCCAGCAAUGCCGCGUGAGUGAUGAAGGCCUUAGGGUUGUAAAGCUCUUUUACCAGGGAUGGUAAUGACAGUACCUGGAGAAUAAGCUACGGCUAACUCCGUGCCAGCAGCCGCGGUAAUACGGAGGGCGCUAGCGUUGUUCGGAAUUACUGGGCGUAAAGCGCGCGUAGGCGGCUAUCCAAGUCAGGGGUGAAAUCCCGGGGCUCAACCCCGGAACUGCCCUUGAAACUAGGUAGCUAGAAUACUGGUGAGGGGAGUGGAAUUCCGAGUGUAGAGGUGAAAUUCGUAGAUAUUCGGAAGAACACCAGUGGCGAAGGCGACUCACUGGACAGUUAUUGACGCUGAGGUGCGAAAGCGUGGGGAGCAAACCGGAUUAGAUACCCGUGUAGUCC